UAGCUGGUUUCUCAAGAAAAGAAUUUUAGUUCCGCCUAAAGCAACAUAAAUCCAAAUAAAUCACCCCCACCCUUUAGAGUAAUUCAAAUAAGGUACAGCCUAUUUGAUACAGGACCCAACCUUCAUUUACGGGUAACAUCAGACCCCACAUACCCAAGUUGGCCUAACAGCAGCCAUCUUUAAAAAAGCGUCAAAGCUUAGCCAUAACGGUCCCAAUUCACCAACCAUUAUUGACCCCUAUCACCCUACUGAGAACUUCUAUACACUUAUAGAAAAUAUUAUGCUAAAACUAGUAACAAGAGGAAUAACCUCUCUCCAGUGCAAACUUAAGCCAGAAAGAAUCCAUCACUGGCAAUUAACAGACCUACACAAAAGUAACAACCAUUCCAGAAAACCCUACUCUCUUUAACUGUUAACCUAACACCAGAGCACUCCCAGAAAGAUUAAAAGAAAAAGAAGGAACUCGGCAAAUAUUAGCUCCGCCUGUUUACCAAAAACAUCGCCUCUUGAUUCUAUAAGAGGUCCAGCCUGCCCAGUGACCUAGUUCAACGGCCGCGGUAUCCUAACCGUGCAAAGGUAGCGUAAUCACUUGUCUUCUAAAUAAAGACUAGUAUGAAAGGCACCACGAGAACUAAACUGUCUCCCUUUUCCAAUCAGUGAACCUAAUAUUCCCGUGAAGAAGCGGGGAUUUUAAAAUAAGACGA
rnacentral:rRNA from 1 species